rnacentral:rRNA from 1 species
AACGUAGGGGACAAGCGUUAUCCGGAUUUACUGGGCGUAAAGCGCCCGUAGGCGGCUUGAUAAGUUGGACGUGAAAGCUCCCGGCUUAACUGGGAGAGGCCGUUCAAAACUAUCGAGCUAGAGUGAGGCAGAGGAGCGCGGAAUUCCCGGUGUAGUGGUGGAAUGCGUAGAUAUUCGCAGGAACACCAGUGGCGAAGGCGAGCUUGCUGGUCCAUAACUGACGCUGAGG